UAGGGAAUCUUGCGCAAUGGGCGAAAGCCUGACGCAGCGACACCGUGUGAAGGAUGAAGAUCUUCGGAUUGUAAACUUCUGUCAAUUGGGGAAGAAGGCACUAAAGUUAAUAGCUGAUAGGCUGACGGUACCCAAUAAGGAAGUCUCGGCUCACUCCGUG
rnacentral:rRNA from 1 species